rnacentral:rRNA from 1 species
GGAAAAGCUCAAAGUUGGAACCUGGCUGCCCUAGGCAGUCCGGAUUGUAAACUAAAGAGCGUGAUUCCAGGCAAGCCGGUUGAUCAAGUCCUUUGGAAUGAGGCGCCACUGAGGGUGAGAGCCCCGUAAGUCGACUGAGCAUUUGUCUUUUGUGUUUCGCGUUCAAAGAGUCAGGUUGUUUGGGAAUGCAGCCUAAAGCUGGUGGUAAAUCCCACCUAAAGCUAAAUACAGGCGAGAGACCGAUAGCGAACAAGUACCGUGAGGGAAAGAUGAAAAGAACUUUGAAAAGAGAGUUAAACAGUAUGUGAAAUUGCCAAGAGGGAAGCAUUUGGAGUUAGAUUGACUAGGAGUUAAUCAGCUUGGUCUUUGGACUGGGUGUACUUGACUUCUAUUGGUCUGCCAAUAGCAGUUAGUCCUAGUGGAAAAAACCAGAGGGAAGGUAGUCCUUCGGGAUGUUUAUAGACCUUUGGAAAAUACACUGGGAUUGACUGAGGAAUGCAGUAGAUGCCACUAAGGCUUCGUCUAGUGGGUGCUAGGCAAAGGUACUUGGUAUUUUCAGCUUGCUGAUGUGCUAGGUUACUCGAGUCUAGUCGCCUACUAGAACUGUAAUCUACUUUGGUUAUUGGCUUAAUGACUCUAAAUGGCCCGUCUU